rnacentral:tRNA from 1 species
CAGGGGAUAGUUUAAUAAAAAUAUUAAUUUUGGAGAUUAAUGAUGGAAAAGUGUUUCUUUCCCUGA